rnacentral:rRNA from 1 species
CAUUGAACGCUGGCGGCAUGCCUUACACAUGCAAGUCGAACGGCAGCGCGGGAGCAAUCCUGGCGGCGAGUGGCGAACGGGUGAGUAAUACAUCGGAACGUGCCCAAUCGUGGGGGAUAACGCAGCGAAAGCUGUGCUAAUACCGCAUACGAUCUAUGGAUGAAAGCGGGGGAUCGCAAGACCUCGCGCGAUUGGAGCGGCCGAUAUCAGAUUAGCUAGUUGGUGGGGUAAAGGCCCACCAAGGCGACGAUCUGUAGCUGGUCUGAGAGGACGACCAGCCACACUGGAACUGAGACACGGUCCAGACUCCUACGGGAGGCAGCAGUGGGGAAUUUUGGACAAUGGGCGCAAGCCUGAUCCAGCAAUGCCGCGUGCAGGACGAAGGCCUUCGGGUUGUAAACUGCUUUUGUACGGAACGAAAAGGUCUGCCCUAAUACGGCGGGCUCAUGACGGUACCGUAAGAAUAAGCACCGGCUAACUACGUGCCAGCAGCCGCGGUAAUACGUAGGGUGCAAGCGUUAAUCGGAAUUACUGGGCGUAAAGCGUGCGCAGGCGGUUUUGUAAGACAGAUGUGAAAUCCCCGGGCUCAACCUGGGACCUGCAUUUGUGACUGCAAAGCUAGAGUACGGCAGAGGGGGAUGGAAUUCCGCGUGUAGCAGUGAAAUGCGUAGAUAUGCGGAGGAACACCGAUGGCGAAGGCAAUCCCCUGGGCCUGUACUGACGCUCAUGCACGAAAGCGUGGGGAGC